GGCCCCGUAGCUCAAGUGGUGAGAGCUACCGGCUCAUAACCGGUUGGUUCCAGGUUCGAAUCCUGGCGGGGCCACCA
rnacentral:tRNA from 1 species